rnacentral:rRNA from 1 species
CGCGUGAGGGACAAGGCCACGGGUCGUAAACCUCUUUCAGCAGGGAAGAAGCGCAAGUGACGGUACCUGCAGAAGAAGCACCGGCUAACUACGUGCCAGCAGCCGCGGUAAUACGUAGGGUGCAAGCGUUGUCCGGAAUUAUUGGGCGUAAAGAGCUCGUAGGCGGUCUGUCGCGUCUGCUGUGAAAACCUAGGGCUUAACUCUGGGCGUGCAGUGGGUACGGGCAGGCUAGAGUGCGGUAGGGGAGACUGGAAAUCCUGGUGUAGCGGUGAAAUGCGCAGAUAUCAGGAGGAACACCGGUGGCGAAGGCGGGUCUCUGGGCCGUAACUGACGCUGAGGAGCGAAAGCAUGGGGAGCGAACAGGAUUAGAUACCCUGGUAGUCCAUGCCGUAAACGUUGGGCGCUAGGUGUGGGGCACACUCCACGUGUUCUGCGCCGCAUCUAACGCAUUAAGCGCCCCGCCUGGGGAGUACGGCCGCAAGGCUAAAACUUAAUGGAAUUGACGGGGGCCCGCACAAGCGGCGGAGCACGCGGAUUAAUUCGAUGCAUCGCGAAGAACCUUACCAAGGCUUGACAUGGGGUGAAAACUCGUAGAGAUACGGGGUCCGCAAGGGCGCCU